CCUCCUCCAGAGGAUCUUCCUGACCCAGGGAUCGAACCUGCAUCUCUUACUUCACCUGCAUUGGCAGGUGGCUUCUUUACCACUAGUGCCACCUGGAAAGCCCUAGUGAAGGCUGUACCUUCCUUUAGAAAGCUUUCUAUGACUUCCUGGGCUGGAUUAAGUACCCUCCAUUUGCUCCCACAAAACACAUUAUCUAUUCCCCCACGAUACUUUUGUGAAAUUCAUUCAUGUCACUGUAAGUAGUUGUAGUUUGUUCACUCUCAUUUCUCUAUUCAAGUCAUCAAAAUAUUUCACAAUUUUCACAAUUGUUAUUGAAUAAUUACUCCAGAUACUGGUUAAUGUGUGUAGUGCUUCUGUUAGCAUUCUUGUGCAUGUGUUUUGGUAAACAUGCACUCAUUUCUGUCGGGUAUAUAUCUAGGACUGUAACUGCUCAAUCAUAGGAGGAGGUAGGCAGCAUAAUAAAAGCAGCCGUUUAGAAUCCUUGCCCUAAUGAUAGGUUUUCCAGGUGGGCUUUGUAAUAGGGAGAUAACCAGGUGGGCCUAAUAUAAUCACAGCUGCUUUCAAAGCAAGUGCUUUCUUCAUCUGGGAGCAGACAAGGGAGUCAGACAUGAAGCGCAAGGAAUACUUGCUGUGUUGUUGGGAGCUUGAGGAUACAGGGGUCCACCUUGCAAGGACUGGAAAGUGGCCUCUAGAAGCAGAGGAUGGCCUUAGCUGGCCCCCAGCAAGGAAACAGGGCAUCGGCCCUACAACAUCAAAGUCCUGAAUUUUGCCAACAGUGAGUUAGGGAUGUGGGGUUCUCCCCAAAGCCUCUAGAUGAGGACUCAUCCUCCCCAACGCCUUGAUUUCAGCCUUGUGAUAUUCUGAGCAGAUCACCCAGCCACUCUGUGGUGGACUUCUGAUCUACAGAACUUUUAUACACAAGCAUCUGAGAAGAUGCUGCUUCAAAAAGACCCUGUGAUCCAUUUGUCAUUUGAGGAUUCCUGUGCAGUGCAGCCCCUGUCACCUUCACGUUUCUCUGUAGGAGAGAUGUUCAGAUACUAAUGGGAGUGCAAAGAGGAGGAUGGCCAACCACCAUCCAAGCAGUGAAUUCAUUGCCUUGAGGAUGGA